rnacentral:rRNA from 1 species
AUUGAACGCUAGCGGCAUGCCUAACACAUGCAAGUCGAACGGUAACGCGGAGAGCUUGCUCUCUGGCGACGAGUGGCGGACGGGUGAGUAACGCGUAGGAAUCUGCCUAGUAGUGGGGGACAACCCGGGGAAACCCGGGCUAAUACCGCAUACGCCCUACGGGGGAAAGUGGGGGAUCUUCGGACCUCACGCUAUUAGAUGAGCCUGCGUCUGAUUAGCUAGUUGGUGAGGUAAUGGCUCACCAAGGCGACGAUCAGUAGCUGGUCUGAGAGGACGAUCAGCCACACUGGGACUGAGACACGGCCCAG